CGUUCCGUAGCUAACGCGCUAAGUAUCCCGCCUGGGGACUACGGCCGCAAGGCUAAAACUCAAAGGAAUUGACGGGAGCCCGCACAAGCAGCGGAGCGUGUGGUCUAAUUCGAUGCUACGCGAAGAACCUUACCAGGGCUUGACAUGCAAGUAGUAGUGAAGCGAAAGCGGAACGACCCUUCGGGGAGCUUGCACAGGUGCUGCAUGGCUGUCGUCAGCUCGUGCCGUGAGGUGUUAGGUUAAGUCCUGUAACGAGCGCAACCCCUACUGUUAGUUACAUGUGUCUGGCGGGACUGCCCGGCUCAACCGGGAGGAAGGUGGGGAUGACGUCAAGUCAGCAUGGCCUUUAUGUCCUGGGCUACACACACGCUACAAUGGCCGGUACAAUGGGUAGCCAAGCCGCGAGGCGGAGCCAAUCCUCCAAAGCCGGUCUCAGUUCGAAUUGUAGGCUGCAACUCGCCUACAUGAAGCUGGAGUUGCUAGUAACCGCAGGUCAGCCACACUGCGGUGAUACGUUCCCGGGCUUUGUACACACCGCCCGUCACGUCAUGGGAGUCGGCAACACCUGAAGCCGGUGGGCCAACCGAAAGGAGGCAGCCGUCGAAGGUGGGGCU
rnacentral:rRNA from 1 species